AUUUUUAUAAAUUAUUUUAUUUUAAUAUUCAUGAUUUUUUUGGAAAAGAAGGAAUAAAAUAUCAUAUUUUAUUCCCGUUUGAUGAGUUCUAAAUUAUUAUUUAAUAAUCUUUCGGGUCAGUGGGAUUUCGAAUAUAUUUUAUUUAUGUUAUUAUGUGAGUAAUAAAAAUUAUGUGCGAGUUGUGAGAAAUUUGUGUGAUUAUGUGAAUAAUUGUUGGAUGCAUUUUAUCUGUUCGUGCAUCCUUUGAUUUAAAUUAGUUCAUAUAGUCGAUCGUGAUUUAUGACAUCAUGAUUUGAUUAUUUUAGAUAUUCUAAAUAUCUUAUUUUAUUUGAAAGCUUUGGAAUUUAGAUUAAUUUUAUUAAAGUAAGAAUAUUUUCGGGUCCCUACAUUUUAUUUAGAUGAUCACUAGCUUUAUAUUUCAAGAUUGGGAUCCAAAACUUUUAUUAUAUAAAUAUAUCAUAUCUAAAAUUAUUUUAUUAUUAAAAAGAAAAUAGAAGUAGUACAAUUGUACUACACGGGUAGUACAAGCAGGAAAAAAAAAGAGGAGAGAAAAGCAAAACACAUACGCACAAAAACAGAGUAGUAGUCGGUGACUCUGAAAAUUGGGGGUUAGGGUUUGAGUGUCCACGGAAACUUAUAAUCCCAACAUAUAAUUGGGUAUAAACUUUUGUUUUCUUGCUUGAUUUUUGAGUUUUGGCGCAUGUAUAUCUAUAUGUUGUAUUGGGUUCGUAUAUAUAUGUGUGGUUGUACUUGAUUGUGGUGGUGGUUGGAAGUCGUGGGCGUCAGCGGAUGGGUGGUGGCAGGGUUGUGUCACAGCCGCCACGAGAAGAGAAAGGGAGUUGAGGCGAGGCACCGGAGGUUGGACGGCGCUACACGGCCGUGAAAGCAGCGGCGUCGCAAUCGGAAUGUUGAUGAUAGGCUAUGGGAAGGUGGCUCCAUUUUCCCGAUGAGCACUUCACCAUCACCCCUGCAUCUCUUGUUCCGAAUCAAUGGCUAGAUACAAAGAUGGUUCGCUUGUUUGGGUUGCGCUUAAGAAUAACGCUAGGCAAGGAUUUCAAGUGAGUAUGUCAGACCUCGAUGGUCAGGAUAAGUAUUUUGGAAGAUGUCAAGGGAACUAGUUGUGAUUAAGAUGGUAUAAUUUUGAUUCAGAUGUAAAGCAGAUUUAAGUUUUGGUUAUCAGUUAUUCUUCUUGUCGAAGUUUAUCUGGUAAUGUAGAAUAUGUUGUAUUAGAUUCAUAUUUUCGAUUUUCUGAUUUCAAUACUAUAGCCUGUAUGCGAUCCUGUUUUCAGGGGGUGAAAUUGAAUUUUACUUUAAAUCAUUUUAAAAAUAUCCAGGUUUCAAAAUAAUUGUUUUUAGCUUCUUUCAAAAAUACAGGUUUUAAAUUGUUUUUCUUUUAGUGGCACCAAAUCCAGACCCCCGGAUUUGAGGGAUGUCACAGUUGGUAUCAGAGCUACAGGUUAUAAGGUAUUGAAAUCAGAAUGUAGGUGGGAGCAACGUGGUUAAUAAGAGAGAUGUGCCAAGUGAAACCUCUUGUAGAGGUAAGUUAAGACUAUUGGGUAUAGUCUCUGUUAAUAGAAUUGAGAUUGAGUUAGAAUAUUGAAAUCGAGUAUUCAUUUGGUAUAUCAUAGUUCCUAAUUUUAGAAUUAAUGAGUUUGGUUCUCAUGAGAAACAUGAUAGACCACAUUUGGUUCGGAAUCGUUAUUUAGAGGUUUUAUGAUUAGAGCUAGUUGAUGUCAGACCAAUGGUUAUUUUCACACUCUCUAGAGUAUUCCUUGCUACGGAGAGAGUUGUUUGGAGAAUUGCCGAUUGCCCCUUGUGAAUUGAAUAUAGAGUUUGUACCUGACUAUGAAAGCUGCAGGGUCAAAGUAAGAGUCCCCGCAUAUAGUUAAGUAAUGAAUGCUAAAGUUUAUCUAGAACACGUGUAGAUUAGUGGAUAUACUGAUAUAGUACUCAUGAGUAAAUUAAGACGUCAACACUUAGUUGUGAUGGUUGUACGAAACUCGAUAAGAUUUUGGACUGUGCGAAGCUGAGCAGGACUCCUGAUGAUCGUGGAUAUUUAUAUAUCAAUCUUCAAAGACCCUUGCGAGUCGAUGAUAAAGUACAAUAUUAAGCAUUAUCGAAUACUGAGAAGAAAGGACUAUAAUCGAAUAGAGGUCCAUUAGAAGAAUAGAUCGAGAAAAUACAUGUGAGACUCUUGGUAAUACCUUCCUCUUUUGUCGAUUAUAUUGAUUCAUUUCCUUCGAGUGAUUUGUUUUUACCUUUAUUUCGUGAAGAUGUUUGAUAAAGAAUAUUGUUCCCUCUCUCUUGGUCUGUAAAGUGAUGUUUGUGCUUAUUGAAUCAUUAUUGACCAUUCUUUUUAGCGAAACUAGGACAUUUGGAAUCUAUUUGAUUUUGAAUCCUAAGUCUGCGUCUGAGGUCCAUUCAUCAAAAGAUAAUCAUUGUCAACUCGAUUUUGAACUACUUUUGGUAUUUCCUUAUUCCAACUGAGAUGAACAACCCGAGUUGUGGGGGACACAAGAACUACCUGUCUGUGUGAUAGGGGUUGGAUGGGACGCCAUCACUUGUGUGUGUUGUACAUACAAGAAGGUUAACUACCUUUAGUAGUGUCUGAAUAAAGACACGCAACACCGAGUUUUUUAGAUCAUAUUGAUCUCUCAGUUAUUUCCUUAUUCAAUGACAUAACACUUGCUUCAAUACAUGAAAUCUAUCAUGUUUCAAUAUUCAAGAUUCUUGUAAUCUCUAGUAGUCUGAAGGUAUGCCAACUGAGUUGCCAACAUGGGUUAAGCCUUCGUAAGAGGGGGUACCAAGAGCAAAAUCAGAUGAUGAUGCGGGUAUACGAAAUCGAUUAAGAGGAUUCCAUAUAAAAAAAAAAGAAUAUUAUGGUUUAAAGAGAUCGUACACUUUAGUUUUCUCUUCGUUGAUUCCGAGGACGGAAUCCUUUUAAGGGGGGUAGAUUGUGACAACCCAUAUUUUUAUAAAUUAUUUUAUUUUAAUAUUCAUGAUUUUUUUGGAAAAGAAGGAAUAAAAUAUCAUAUUUUAUUCCCGUUUGAUGAGUUCUAAAUUAUUAUUUAAUAAUCUUUCGGGUCAGUGGGAUUUCGAAUAUAUUUUAUUUAUGUUAUUAUGUGAGUAAUAAAAAUUAUGUGCGAGUUGUGAGAAAUUUGUGUGAUUAUGUGAAUAAUUGUUGGAUGCAUUUUAUCUGUUCGUGCAUCCUUUGAUUUAAAUUAGUUCAUAUAGUCGAUCGUGAUUUAUGACAUCAUGAUUUGAUUAUUUUAGAUAUUCUAAAUAUCUUAUUUUAUUUGAAAGCUUUGGAAUUUAGAUUAAUUUUAUUAAAGUAAGAAUAUUUUCGGGUCCCUAUAUUUUAUUUAGAUGAUCACUAGCUUUAUAUUUCAAGAUUGGGAUCCAAAACUUUUAUUAUAUAAAUAUAUCAUAUCUAAAAUUAUUUUAUUAUUAAAAAGAAAAUAGAAGUAGUACAAUUGUACUACACGGGUAGUACAAGCAGGAAAAAAAAAGAGGAGAGAAAAGCAAAACACAUACGCACAAAAACAGAGUAGUAGUCGGUGACUCUGAAAAUUGGGGGUUAGGGUUUGAGUGUCCACGGAAACUUAUAAUCCCAACAUAUAAUUGGGUAUAAACUUUUGUUUUCUUGCUUGAUUUUUGAGUUUUGGCGCAUGUAUAUCUAUAUGUUGUAUUGGGUUCGUAUAUAUAUGUGUGGUUGUACUUGAUUGUGGUGGUGGUUGGAAGUCGUGGGCGUCAGCGGAUGGGUGGUGGCAGGGUUGUGUCACAGCCGCCACGAGAAGAGAAAGGGAGUUGAGGCGAGGCACCGGAGGUUGGACGGCGCUACACGGCCGUGAAAGCAGCGGCGUCGCAAUCGGAAUGUUGAUGAUAGGCUAUGGGAAGGUGGCUCCAUUUUCCCGAUGAACACUUCACCAUCACCCCUGCAUCUCUUGUUCCGAAUCAAUGGAACCGAGCUAUGUGCGUAUCGAGGACGUUAUUAAGUAGUCGAAUUGAAAAGCAAGUUGAAACUGGAAUGAUCUGAAAAGACGAAGCUAUGUCGUGGAUGGAAUCUUGUCAAAAGCAAAGCGAGAAUAUACAGUAUAGGAAAGGCUCUACUAGGUGACAAGAAAAUAGGUUCUUUGAACAAGAAGGAAAGCGAAUAAGGCAAGUAACUUUCCUCUUUCUUUUAAGCAGCUUAAUGAUGAGUACUGUCACCUUUGAACUACCUUUUGAAUUAUGAAAGCCUGAUUUCCUUUCUCAUUGAAUAUGAUGUCUCACUUUUGAGUACAAGCUCUUUCAUGAUGAUCUUGCUUUUGUAUCCAGCAUAUUUUUAUCUUGAAAUAUCUUUCACUUGAUCGAAUGAUGUUUCCUUUCCAUGUACUUGACCUCACAAAAAUAUGGCACUUGUUUCUAUAAUUGAAACUAAGAAUGAUUUUAGACUUGCAAGUGUCCUAAUGAUUUGAAAGGUUGGUAAGUUUUUAAAAUGAAAGAUAUUUUUUUAAA